GUGAGUGAAUUUUCUGAAUCCAAGGAAAUAACUCUGCAUAAACUCAUCAGACCGGAACAAAAUUCAAACAUGAUCACUUAAUACUUGUCAAGGUGAAACCACAAGCGUGACGAAAAAAGUGUGGAAAUUUAUAACUUCAGUGAGCCCUAGGAACACCAAUCUGUACAUAAUAGUCAAACCAGAACAAAUUGCAAACAUGAACCCUAACAGAUCAUGAUAAUACAUGCCACACAUCAAAUCAAUAUCUUCAAGCACAAAGAACAAAAGUGUGGAAAAGUGAUUAUUCGGGCAGACGGAUGAACAGAUUAACAGUCCG
rnacentral:lncRNA from 1 species